rnacentral:tRNA from 1 species
GCCCGGAUAGCUCAGUCGGUAGAGCGUUAGGCUUUUAACCUGACGGUCUUGGGUUCGAGUCCCUGUUCGCGCG